GGUUUGCUUCACGGUGCGGAACGAAGUCAAAUGGAAUUGUCUUUGAAGAUCAAUGUGUAACACCUCGGUUCUAUGGUCUUUGGAGACACCUCGACGCUAUGGAACAUGAGCUUUUUGUAUUCUGAAACGGAUCUUGAAUGGGAAGAAGAAAGAAUAUGGGCGCAGAGCAUUGAUAUGAGAGAUGAACGAUCACUGCCAUUUUGGAAUGGAAAGAUUCACCUUUAGUUUUAAUUAAACUGCUGGAAAACCAUAUCGAAAGCUCCGACGAAAGCGGAGAGAAAGGGUUACUGAGGCCUUACAUGUGGUGUUUACUUUGUACUACUCGUGCAAGUAAUUGCCAUGACAAAGGGAGGGAAAUGUAUCCCAUCGUCGACCCGACUGAAGCAGCGUUGAAAACUGCAACGAAGAGCAGCAGCCUCGCCAAACAAUAUACUGGCCCAUUCAGAAACAUGAUUCCCCCGGUUGAAUGCGAAGAAACCGGAAGUAAAUGUUGUUGAAAGAAGAAUGGUAUGGUUUGAAGACGAUUCGUUGACGUUUUGAAAAGUCGUGUCUUUUGUCACUGAUUCGUAUUGUUGUAACGUACGGGGGGAAAACUCGUGGAGCUGGCGUCAGGACAAACUGGAG
rnacentral:misc_RNA from 1 species